rnacentral:sRNA from 1 species
GCCAGGAGUGGUGGCACAUGCCUGUAAUCCCAGCUACUGGGGAGGCUGAGGCAGGAUUGCAAGUUCGAGGCCAAUCUCAGCAAUUAAGUUAGAUCCUGUCUCAU